UACGGAGGGUGCAAGCGUUAUCCGGAUUUACUGGGUUUAAAGGGUGCGCAGGUGGAUAAUUAAGUCAGUGGUGAAAUCUUCAGGCUUAACCUGGAAACUGCCAUUGAUACUAUUUAUCUUGAAUACUUUGGAGGUAAGCGGAAUAUGUCAUGUAGCGGUGAAAUGCUUAGAUAUGACAUAGAACACCAAUUGCGAAGGCAGCUUACUACACAGUAAUUGACACUGAGGCACGAAAGCGUGGGGAUCAAACAGG
rnacentral:rRNA from 1 species